GGCCUGGUGGUCUAGUGGUAUGAUUGUCGCUUCGGGUGUUUCUAAGCCUGAGAUAUUGUUAUCUUGCAUGUGACAGGCCCCGGGUUCGAAUCCCGGCCAGGCCC